rnacentral:rRNA from 1 species
GGGGAAUUUUGGACAAUGGGCGCAAGCCUGAUCCAGCAAUGCCGCGUGAGUGAAGAAGGCCUUCGGGUUGUAAAGCUCUUUUGUCAGGGAAGAAACGGUCCAGGCUAAUAUCCUGGGCUAAUGACGGUACCUGAAGAAUAAGCACCGGCUAACUACGUGCCAGCAGCCGCGGUAAUACGUAGGGUGCAAGCGUUAAUCGGAAUUACUGGGCGUAAAGCGUGCGCAGGCGGUUUUGUAAGUCUGUCGUGAAAGCCCCGGGCUCAACCUGGGAAUUGCAUUUGUGACUGCACGGCUAGAGUGUGUCAGAGGGGGGUAGAAUUCCACGUGUAGCAGUGAAAUGCGUAGAGAUGUGGAGGAAUACCGAUGGCGAAGGCAGCCCCCUGGGAUAACACUGUCGCUCAUGCACGAAAGCGUGGGGAGCAAAC